CCAAUCGUGGUUUCAAUCUGGUUUUGGGGUUAAUUUGUUGCGUGAUUGGAAAGUGUAUAAGCUUCUGUUGCAGAAACAUUUUGCUGAAUUCUUGGGUGAUCCUAUUGCAGAGCUAAAACAGUUACAAGAAACUGACGGAAUUGCGGAUUAUCAUCACAAAUUUGAGCUGAUUAAGUCUCGUGUGAAUCUGUCUGAAGCGUACUUGGUUAGCCUUUUCUUGGCAGGGUUGAGAACUGAUAUGCAGAUAAAUGUCAAGAUGUUUCAACCUCAAUCUGUUGAACAAUGCUUAAUGUUGGGCAGAAUGUAUGAGAAAGCUCAAAAUCAUUGGAAAAGGGUUAGUACCGAAACAGAUGGUGAUGAAUAUCAAAAAGGAGCUGAAUCUUUAAAUGUUCCAAGUGAAGCUACAGAACCUUCUUUGAGUGACAUUCAAAUGCACAAUUCCUCACAUAAGGAUUCUGAGGGCAAACAAUUGAUUGAGCAAGAGAAUUCUGUUGAAGCGGAGAGCUUGUUGCAGGAACAAGAAUUGGUUUGUGAGCAGGCACAUCCUCAGAAACUUGUUAACAUGGAUUUGCUUCAUGAAGCUGCUGUACAUAAGGAUAAUGACUCCUCAGUUGGGAAGCAGUUGAUGCAGCAAGAGUCUUUUGUGGGUAUGAGGAAACUGUUGCAGCAACAAGAAGAGAUUUGUAGCACAAAAUCAAUUGAUAAAUGGCCUACAGUGCCAAUGGUAGAGCAAAAGCUGAAGGACAAAGUUUUGAAGAGUUGGAAGUUUAAGUUCAAACCUGAAAAAGAGGACACAAAGCACCAUCAUAAUCAGGUUUUCUAUGUCUCGGAUUUUGGCAUUGACAUGAGGUUUGUUCAUCAUGAGGAAACACUACAUGAUCACAUUGGAGAGGGGUUUAAACGCUGGAGAAUAAUGACAAUGUGUGUACUGUUUAGAAUUGAUUCACAAGAGGUUCAAAGAGGUAUAAACUUACAGUGGAAGGUGAAGAAACUGAAGUGUCCCAAAUCAUGGAAAUUUAAGUUUAAAAACAGGAACUUGAGGGGCUAUAAACUGGACAGAGUGAAGUGGUUGUGUUUUCAACGUUCUUAGUGACAUUUUUGAAGCAAGUUUUUUCAAAGAAGAUAUGUUGGAACAAUAAUGGGAGAUGAGAAUA
rnacentral:lncRNA from 1 species